CCUACGGGAGGCAGCAGUGGGGAAUAUUGGGCAAUGGACGCAAGUCUGACCCAGCAACGCCGCGUGAAGGCAGAAGGCUUUCGGGUUGUAAACUUCUUUUAAGGGGGAAGAGCAGAAGACGGUACCCCUUGAAUAAGCCACGGCUAACUACGUGCCAGCAGCCGCGGCAAUACGUAGGUGGCAAGCGUGGUCCGGAUUUACUGGGGGUAAAGGGCGUGCAGCCGGAGAGACAAGUCAGAUGUGAAAUCCACGGGCUCAACCCGUGAACUGCAUUUGAAACUGUUUCCCUUGAGUGUCGGAGAGGUAAUCGGAAUUCCUUGUGUAGCGGUGAAAUGCGUAGAUAUAAGGAAGAACACCAGUGGCGAAGGCGGAUUACUGGACGAUAACUGACGGUGAGGCGCGAAAGCGUGGGGAGCAAACAGGAUUAGAUACCCUAGUAGUC
rnacentral:rRNA from 1 species